rnacentral:rRNA from 1 species
AACGUAGGACGCAAGCGUUAUCCGGAAUUACUGGGCGUAAAGCGCGUGUAGGUGGUUUUAUAAGUCACUGUUGAAAGCUCCCGGCUAAACUGGGAGAGGUGCGGUGAGACUGUAGAGCUAGAGUUUGGGAGAGGGGUGCGGAAUUCCGGGUGUAGAGGUGAAAUUCGUAGAUAUCGGGAGGAAUACCAGUGGCGAAGGCGGCGACCUGGGCCAAUACUGACGCUGAGGUGCGAAAGCGUGGGGAGCAAACAGG